UACGUAGGGGGCAAGCGUUAUCCGGAUUUACUGGGUGUAAAGGGAGCGUAGGCGGCUUAGUAAGUCAGAAGUGAAAGCCCGCAGCUCAACUGCGGGACUGCUUUUGAAACUGCCAAGCUAGAGUGUCGGAGAGGUAAGUGGAAUUCCUAGUGUAGCGGUGAAAUGCGUAGAUAUUAGGAGGAACACCAGUGGCGAAGGCGGCCACCUGGACGACAACUGACGCUGAGGUGCGAAAGCGUGGGUAGCAAACAGG
rnacentral:rRNA from 1 species